GUUUGCUCAGAAGGAAGUUAGACUUUCGAACCGACGGCCCCUGGACAUCAAUUAGAACAAUAAGUGGACAAAUAUAUGGAAAAAACCCAAAACAAAACAAAACAAAACAAAACAAAACAAAACAAAACAAAGGGAUAUCAGCAAACAAAUAAAUGAAAAUGAUUCUGAACGUUAAAGCUAGCCUGGUUUCCAUAAGAAGUGUUUCACUCGAUGGACCAUUGAAAUCAUACAUCAGUUUAUAUUAAUCAGUCAGUUUAUAUUAAAUAUGAAAAGGUUCGAUCGAUGGUUGCUUACUGUAUUGGUUCUAAUUUUACUAAACCAAUUCCAUAAUCUUAUAGUGUCAGAAUUCAUCUUAUA